rnacentral:rRNA from 1 species
GACGAACGCUGGCGGCGUGCCUAAUACAUGCAAGUAGAACGCUGAAGGCGGAGCUUGCUUCUCUGGAUGAGUUGCGAACGGGUGAGUAACGCGUAGGUAACCUGCCUGGUAGCGUGGGAUAACUAUUGGAAACGAUAGCUAAUACCGCAUAAUAGUAGAUGUUGCAUGACAUUUGCUUAAAAGGUGCAAUUGCAUCACUACCAGAUGGACCUGCGUUGUAUUAGCUAGUUGGUCGGGUAACGGCUCACCAAGGCGACGAUACAUAGCCGACCUGGGAGGGUGAUCGGCAACGCUGGGACUGAGACACGGCCCAGACUCGUACGGGGGGCAGCAGUAGGGAAUCUUCGGCAAUGGAAGGAAGUCUGACCGAGCAACGCCGCGUGAGUGAAGAAGGUGUUCGGAUCGUAAAGAUCUGUGGUAAGAGAAGAACGAGUGUGAGAGUGGAAAGUUCACACUGUGACGGUAUCUUACCAGAAAGGGACGGCUAACUACGUG